AAAGUAAGACUACAAGCUGAAGAAUGGGCAAA
rnacentral:sRNA from 1 species